rnacentral:rRNA from 1 species
GACGAACGCUGGCGGCGUGCUUAAUACAUGCAAGUCGAACGGAAAGGCCCUGCGUUUGUGGGGUGCUCGAGUGGCGAACGGGUGAGUAACACGUGAGUAACCUGCCCUUGACUUUGGGAUAACUUCAGGAAACUGGGGCUAAUACCGGAUAGGAGCUCCUGCUGCAUGGUGUGCGUUGGUAAGUUUCGGCGGUUGGGGAUGGACUGGCGGCUUAUCAGCUUGUUGGGGGGGUAGUGGCUUACCAAGGCUUUGAAGGGUAGUCGGCCUGAGAGGGUGACCGGCGACAUUGGGACUGAGAUACGGCCCAGACUCCUACGGGAGGCAGCAGUGGGGAAUAUUGCACAAUGGGCGGAAGCCUGAUGCGGCAGCGCCGCGUGCGGGAUGCCGGCCUUCGGGGUGUAAACCGCUUUGGCAUGUGACGAAGCGUGAGUGACGGUAAUGGGUAAAGAAGCACCGGCUAACUACGUG